rnacentral:rRNA from 1 species
AGCGAACGCUGGCGGCAGGCCUAACACAUGCAAGUCGAACGAACCCUUCGGGGUUAGUGGCGGACGGGUGAGUAACACGUGGGAACGUGCCUUUAGGUUCGGAAUAACUCAGGGAAACUUGUGCUAAUACCGAAUGUGCCCUUCGGGGGAAAGAUUUAUCGCCUUUAGAGCGGCCCGCGUCUGAUUAGCUAGUUGGUGGGGUAAUGGCUCACCAAGGCUACGAUCAGUAGCUGGUCUGAGAGGAUGACCAGCCACAUUGGGACUGAGACUCGGCCCAAACUCCUACGGGAGGCAGCAGUGGGGAAUCUUGCGCAAUGGGCGAAAGCCUGACGCAGCCAUGCCGCGUGGAUGAUGAAGGUCUUAGGAUUGUAAAAUCCUUUCACCGGUGAAGAUAAUGACUGUAGCCGGAGAAGAAGCCCCGGCUAACUUCGUGCCAGCAGCCGCCGUAACAC